UAGGGAAUAUUGCGCAAUGGGGGAAACCCUGACGCAGCAACUCCGCGUGAGUGAGGAAGGCCUUCGGGUUGUAAAGCUCUGUUAUUAGGGAAAAAUGGCAAUGUAGGUAAUAUUUAUGUUGCGUGAUGGUACCUAAUGAGGAAGCACCGGCUAACUUCGUGCCAGCAGCCGCGGUAAUACGAAGGGUGCAAGCGUUGUUCGGAAUUAUUGGGCGUAAAGCGCGCGCAGGCGGAUAAUUAAGCCAGAUGUGAAAUCUCGGGGCUCAACCCCGAAACUGCGUCUGGAACUGGUUGUCUAGAGUACUGGAGGGGACAGGGGAAUUUCACGUGUAGGGGUAAAAUCCGUAGAGAUGUGAAGGAACACCGGAGGCGAAGGCGCCUGUCUGGCCAGUAACUGACGC
rnacentral:rRNA from 1 species